rnacentral:rRNA from 1 species
GAUGAACGCUGGCGGCAUGCCUAAUACAUGCAAGUCGAACGAGAGGAAGGAAAGCUUGCUUUUCUGAAUCUAGUGGCGAACGGGUGAGUAACACGUAGGUAACCUGCCCAUGUGCCCGGGAUAACUUCUGGAAACGGAUGCUAAAACCGGAUAGGUAGCAGACAAGCAUUUGACUGCUAUUAAAGUGGCUAAGGCCAUGAACAUGGAUGGACCUGCGGUGCAUUAGCUAGUUGGUGAGGUAACGGCCCACCAAGGCGACGAUGCAUAGCCGGCCGGAGAGGGCGGACUGCCACAUUGGGACUGGGACACGGGCCAAACUCCUACGGGAGGCAGCAGUAGGGAAUUUUCGGCCAUGGGGGGAACCCUGAACGGGCAAUGCCGCGUGAUUGAGGAAGGUCUUCGGAUCGUAAAGCUCUGUUGUAAGAGAAAAACGACAUUCAUAGGGAAUGAUGAGUGAGUGAUGGUAUCUUACCAGAAAGUCACGGCUAACUACGUGCCAGCCGCCGCGGUAA